GUGGCCUGGAAGAAAGAAAAAUGAAGAAGUACUAGCAUUCCAAAACUAUUUCAAAACAACCACCAUCCUACUACAGAAGCUUUGAAAUUUACCUGACAAUAUACUUCAUGGUGUUUGUGGGAACAUGCUCAUUCUAUGUUUGGUCCAGGAGCUCUGCAUUGUCUGGAUGUUUGUAUCUGGCCAUCUCACUCCCCUAUGCAUUAAAUUCAAGUGGCUUCCUCUAGGAUAAAAUAUGAACUCUUCUGUUUUAAGCCUUUUACAACCUUUACUUAACCAAUUUUUCCAGCCUCAUUGUAUGGUAUUUCCUCCCCACACAAAGUCAGACUCAGCCCUUUUGAGGCCAGCCAAUAAAGCAUGCUAUCCCCUUU